UAUAGCAAGAUUAGUCUGACGUCAUUGCAUUGAAUAGGUUGGUAGCACCGUUGACGUUGAGACUCUGUUGACAGUUGAUUGUUUCCAAACAAAUAAUUGUCCGGUGUAUUUUUCCAUUAAGAAAGUUUUAAUUUAAAUUAUCAAUAUGGUUAUGGGCUUUGUUCCAGAAUGUAAAACAUUACAGCGAAAAGAAAACUUGUUCUUUUUUUCGUUUCCCAAAAGACCCAGUUCUUCUAAAGAAGUGGAGGUAUACCGAAAUGGAUUUCACUUGUGAGACGUGGAGACAGGAAUCCAAGUCCAUCUUCUUUGAUUUGUUCAUGUUACUUUAGUAAUGGGGACAAAAAAAAUAUAUCAACUUUAUUUGAACAUAAUGAAAACAAGCUAUUUUCGUUCCAAUCUCCAGAGAAAAAGAAGAAAAGGUGAUAAUAAUAACCACUGUUCAUUAUUUUUUUCUUUAUGUUUUUAGAAGUUAAAACUUUUAUAGGGUAUGUAGUGUCAGCUAAUCUGUAAGUGAUAGAAAUCAAAACCUUGUAUAUAUCUAUAACCUCUCUCAGACAUUUGAUGAAAAUAUACCUAUAGACUGUGAACAACUCGGUUCUGAAAAACAACAACCGUCAACGAUUUCUAUUAUUUCACUUCGA